CCUUGUCUCUCUCUUCUAUGUUACAAUUUCUUAAUUAUAUUUCUCUAACUUCUCUUCAAACAGAUGAUAUAUAUAUAAGGAUCAUCGUCUUAUAACCAUCAUCAUUACAAAGAGAGAAAAAGAUACGAGAGUUCAAAGGCGAAAUCUUCAUAAAAUGGCUUUCCACGUCGGUCAAUCAUUUUUCUUUGGAAUUUUAUUUUUAUGCGUUGCUUUGGUCCUCAUUCCAGGAUCAGUAACAUGUGAGCAUAUAGAAGCUGCCUGUCUAGAACCUUGCACACUCGCUUGCUUCAGAGACUGUAUUUUACGUGGUUAUAGAGCGGGAGGCUUUUGUUUGGGAAUUUUAUGUUGUUGUGCGCCAUAAUGAUUACUUUUGAGCCCUCUCUAAAGCAUGAAAAAAUAAAACAUUGGUUGCUUAAACCAAUUUGCUACCAAUCUAAAAUAAUGUAUUCUCGACCGUGGCUAUAAUUAAGAAUGGAAGUCCUUAAUUGUCUUA